AUUGAACGCCGGCGGCAUGCCUUACACAUGCAAGUCGAACGGCAGCACGGGAGCAAUCCUGGUGGCGAGUGGCGAACGGGUGAGUAAUAUAUCGGAACGUGCCCAGUCGUGGGGGAUAACGUAGCGAAAGCUACGCUAAUACCGCAUACGAUCUAUGGAUGAAAGCGGGGGAUCGCAUGACCUCGCGCGAUUGGAGCGGCCGAUAUCAGAUUAGGUAGUUGGUGAGGUAAAGGCUCACCAAGCCGACGAUCUGUAGCUGGUCCGAGAGGACGACCAGCCACACUGGGACUGAGACACGGCCCAGACUCCUACGGGAGGCAGCAGUGGGGAAUUUUGGACAAUGGGCGCAAGCCUGAUCCAGCAAUGCCGCGUGCAGGAUGAAGGCCUUCGGGUUGUAAACUGCUUUUGUACGGAACGAAACGGCGAGCUCUAAUACAGUUUGCUAAUGACGGUACCGUAAGAAUAAGCACCGGCUAACUACGUGCCAGCCGCCGCCGUAA
rnacentral:rRNA from 1 species